UUAUUUGUUAUUAAUAACUCUAUUGAAUUUUCUUUCUUUUCAGUUUUGUAACUAAUGAUUUAUUAAGAUUUAAGUUGUUAACCCGGUCGGGGUUAGGAAAAAUUGGCAAAGUUAAAAGCCAUUUCUUUCUGUGUCAUGCCUUAAAUAAACUCCUUUAUUUCGUAUAUCCUGUUUGGCCGCCUCAAUUCGUUUCGCGGCUUAUGCAUUCUCCUGUGUUUUGUCCUCCUCCGCUUUGGGGGUCCAUUUGGGACCCGGAGCCCGCUUUGUCAUGCUAAGGGUUAAGCCCAAGUGGUUAGAAAGAGGAUUUAAGAACGGGGUUGGGCAUAAAUAACGACACGUUGUGCAUUUUGAUGGGAGCCCGGAAUUUUCGGAUAGGGGAUUGGUCACGGUAUAUUACUGGGGGUUAGAAACGAAAAAAAAAAGAAAAAAAAAAUAGGAUGAGAUUGCGAACCUGACUCCUGUUUUGCCCUUUUCCGCAUCAUUGCCCCACUGUCGGUCUCAAAAAAAAAAAACCAAAAAAAAAAAAAAGGAAAAAGGGGUAGCAGAGUAAAACCACACGAAAAUGUUUUUAUGAUUAUUAUUCGUACACUUUUCGUUGAUUUUUAUGAUUAUUACGACUUUGAUGUCAGUUAAAUGCCCGUAAAUAUUCAUCGAAGUUAUAUUGAACAGAUUCAAUUGAAACUUUAACCUCGCAAAAGGGCAUGGGCAUGGGCACGGGAACGGGCACUUUGCGUUAGCCAAUGAAGUUGUUUACAUUGGAGUUGAUGUCCAUUCAAUUUUCAUGGCUGUCAGCUUAUCAAAUAUGCGAAAUAUUUCGAAAUAUUUCAAUUGCAUAACAGUCGUCCGACAAUCCCAAUAGUAAUCGUUAUAAUAAUGACAGCGGGGAGUCCAAAAACCAUUCAACUGGCAACUGGCAAACAAAAUAAAACGCAUUCGAAUAUAUUUGAUGUUUUGACCAUUAAAAGUGCAACAAAAUCUCGAAUGCAAACAGUUUCACAGAGUGAUCUGGGGCAAAGCCCAACAAUAUCCUUGCACAAAUAGUGCAACAUGUUCAAUGCAUAAACAAGCAUAUUUCUUCUUACUCCAAACUCAAAUUUCACCAUGAAUAAGACAUGAGCUUGAGUAUGAAAUAACUCACAUUUAUGCACAUUCAGUUGCCAGACAGUUUGAAUUGGCUCUUUGGGGUAACUUAUCGAUUGAAUUGAGAAUUGGGAAGCGAACAGAGUCGAGUCGAGUCGAGUGAGCCGAGUUUCCAUUGGAUAUCUUCAAUAAUUCAUCGGAUUUUUAAGGCAAAAGCUAAGCUUUAAAAGAGAGAGUUUCGAGCAUUGCAGACAUUUUUACUGUCGUCCCUUAUCAUUGGUUUAAAAAGUUGCUCCUUGCCAUUUAUUUUUGAGGGCUUUACGAGCUGUUCUAUGGAGCUGACACUCCCUCGGGGUCUCGAGUUUUAUGUUUCUUUUAUGAAUUCGAAAUUUCGACACACUCACACCGAUGCCAAAAAUGCCAUUGCAAACUUUUCACACACACGCACACAGCACAAUAAACAUAAAAAACAAAAAACGAAGCUAGAACUUUGGUCCACUAUCUGCUUUUCUGCUGCGGCCAGAUCUGCUGUAAAUAAUUAUUUAUAGUAUAUACUCUAUAUAAGAAUUUUGUAUAUAUACAUAUAUGAACGUAAAUGUACUGGUAUGUGUAUGUGUCAAUGUAUGUGCGUUUGCCUGUCUAUUACUUAAAAUACAACUACAAAAGCACCUAAAAAUCUUAAAAUCAAUCAAAAAUGAGAUAUAUAUAUAUAUACAUAUAUAUAAAUUAGGUAUUUAAUUUAUGCAAAUGAAAAGUGCGCAAAAGACGAAAGAAAACCGACAAAACAAACGACAAGCAAAUUCGAAAUUAAUUUGCAUUGAAUAACAAAGGAACCGCUUCGGUUUCAAUUUCACUUCCAGCCAAGGAUAAACCCCUAGACAAGAUAAAAAGAGAGAAAAAAAAAAAACAAAAAGCCGAGAAAAAACACCGACACAAAAGAGAAGCCAAAUGAGGGAAAAUGAAGUGCCAAAGUGUUGAAAAUAAAGCGAAAGCCAAGAGACGAAAUUGAAAUCGAGUAUAAAAGGUUUUUCCGUUCAGUUUUAAUCGGUAUCGCGCGUUCACUUCCGUUCCGUUUCGUUACGUUUUGUUUGGCUACGAUCUGCGUUCGCCUUAGCCCAGCCGUUUCCGUUUCCGUUCCGUUCCGUUUCGUUCCGUUUCCGCUCGGCAAACAUUUAAAUGGCUACCAGCUGCUGCUUAUGAUGGAGACAUUCCUCGUCCUGGGCCUGUGUUUCAUCCUGUACGAGGCAUUGGAUUUCUUUCAGGGCUGCAUCCACAGUAAUACCCCAUCGCCCAGCGAUCAAAUCGAAGCCUAUCGCCGCGAACUCGACGAACAGCGCCAGCAGCAGCAGCAGGAACAGUUCCUGGCGGGAUUGACGCCGUUGCUAGGCGCUCAAUUUGCCGCUGCCGCCGCCGCCGCGGCCGCUGCCGCCGGUUCGCAGUCGACGUUGGGCAGCACGACCACGCCCACCGCCUCCACGGCCAGCGUUAUAAGUGAUUCAUACGAUCAGGAAUCGCAAUCGCAAUCGCAAUCGCAAUCUCAAUCGCAGUCCCAAUCGCAGUCCAAUCAAAAUCAACAGCAUUCGCUAAGCACUCCUGGCCUGUUUCGUCCCGCCGCCUUGGGCUACUACGAUCCGGAGGAUCCGUUGCAUGCCACAAACUCCCUACCGCGCGACUUUUACUAUCUGCAGCAGCAGCAGCUGAAGAACAAGGUCAGCUCAAGAUCGCUACUCUCCAAGUUCUCAUCGACCAACUCGGAUAAUCGCAUACAUCCGGAGGCUGGAGCCGGUUCAGGCCAUCAUCACAGUGUCCUGGGAGCAGCGUCUGUUAUAACAAGUCAACCCCUACCAUCUGGCGGUGAGAUACCAUCCAGUCUCUUCGAUCAGCCGGGACAACCGGCUGUGGUGGUGCCACCACUGCAACUGCAACCCUCAUCACCACUAUUUGUGGAGCUUAAGAGGGCGAUUAUAAGUCAGAAUCAGAGAUCCCAACCGAUAAAGUAUCAGGCGAGAGAAUCAAUCGAAGAGCCACAGUGCCCCCAGUGCGAGGAAGAGCAGAUACAGUAUUUGGCAGAGACUUUGGACGAUCUUGCCGAAUCCGAAGAUCAACAGUAUUCGCCAGCCGAAGAAGAGGACGACGACGAGGAGGAGGAGGAGGAGGAGGAGCAGAACGAAGAGCAGGAGGAUCGCGAGGAGCAGCAUCCCUACGUGGGAGGAGCAACCAGUGAGCCGGAUAUUUGUGCCGCCACACGACAACAGCUAACCAGGAUUCAUCACAUCGCCAUUGACGACAUCGCCACCGGACAGGAGCAUCAUCAUCAUCAUCACCACCAUCUCAGCAUUUCGGGACAGGCAACGUCGUUGGGCGCCAAUUCUCACGCAGACUUCAGGGAAAUCGAGUGCGAGCGACUGCGACGCAAGUGCGUUAGCGUUAAGCGCAUCUAUAGCAUAUCGGAAAAGUUCUAAUUCAGAUUCAGAUCAGAUCACUACUCAAAACUCAAUUCGAUAUCUCAGCUCUCAUACCUGUACAGCCCUUCACCAUAUUGCACUUCAAUCGAUCAAUAUCUAUGUAUACCGAGGCCAAAAUACAAAAUCAAUCAAAAUCGAGAAUCGAAAAUCGCCAAAUCAAAAAUCGAAGCCAAAUCAAAUCGAAAUAAAUGCAAAAUCAGUUUUCAAAUUCCGCUCACCAACAAUCGAACCAAAUGCAACCAAAAUCACAAAAUUGCCCAAAGCGAAACACCCCACACAAGUUGAGUAAGAUGUGCGCUACAGACAGACUAAGAAAAACAAUAAACACGACAAGAAAAACCAAACAACUCGAG